rnacentral:rRNA from 1 species
UCCGUAGGGUGCGAUCGUUAAUCGGAAUUACUGGGCGUAAAGCGUGCGCAGGCGGUUUUGUAAGCCAGAUGUGAAAUCCCCGGGCUUAACCUGGGAAUGGCAUUUGGGACUGCAAGGCUGGAGUAUGGCAGAGGGGACUGGAAUUCCUGGUGUAGCAGUGAAAUGCGUAGAUAUCAGGAGGAAUACCGAUGGCGAAGGCAGGUCCCUGGGCUGAUACUGACGCUCAUGCACGAAAGCGUGGGGAGAAAACAGG